CCUCAUGCAUGAGUACUACAAAGAACUUUGCCUACUUGUGUCUUGUUUCUGCUGUGUAGCAAAUUGUCCUGAACGUUCCAGCGAAUAGGUUUAUGUUACAAACCUAUCAUUAAUUGGUCCUUCUUGAGCCGGAUCCUUGGAAUCGACAUUCACCGAGGGGAAAAGAGACACGCCGAAAGACUGACGUCAGCCAGGAUUUAUAGAGGUCCUGCAGCAAAGCCCCGAGGCGUGAGAAUUCGUCAUCGGGCCGGUGGAUUAGCCGUCUGUUUUUCUCCUCGAUGGAUGGUGAUUGACGGGAUUCGGGACUGAUGCUACUCGCAAUGAACAACUCCAAGUAAGUUUAGAGUACAUCUCUAUAACUGUACGUCUUCGCCGCUCAGUGGGGCGUUGUCCGUGGCCGCUUAGUGGGGCUAAAAUUCGCCGUCUUAGUGGGGCGAUGUACAAAGCCGCUCAGUGGGGUUUUUUGUACAGAAGCAUUAAGUCGCAGAGUUGCGCAGUUCGAACUUUUUUGGUUCGCCGUCUUAGUGGGGCGAAAUAGGGACCGCUUUGUGGGGUCCUGUAAUACUUUCUCCGCCGCUCAGGUGUUGAGAAGUUCCGCGGAGUCCAUUUGUAGUGGACAAUAGGCCUAUUCUUUGUUAUUGUCGUUGUCGUCGUCGUCGUCGUUGUGAGUGUGAGUGUGUUUGUGUGAGUGGAUGCAGAGCAGAACACGUGGUCUGUGACAGCUGUUGUUGUUAUUAUGGGUUCCCAAGCAACCAAGAGUGCAUCAGAGGGUGACGAGAAGUUUAUGAUGAAAUUCGCUCCUGGAAGCACAAAGUAUUUAGGACAUUGGCGCAAGAAAUAUGAUUUUGAAGGUAAAUUGGUUGUAGGACAAUGUCAGAUGUUAAUAGAUCAGUUGACAGUAAAGGCAGCUUGUGCAAAAGGGAAAUUGAAACAGGAGAGAGAGUUACAACUGGCAUCCGCCAAACUGUGGUUAGAGCAGGCGCAGAAAAGACAGGAGGCCGUGAACGCGAAGAGAGCAGCUUUGCAGGCAUUAGCUGUGAAACCUGAAGAUGAGACGGUGCAGUCUACUUCGGUGGUGCUGACGUUAAGGGACCAACAGCGUAGAGCAGCAUUAGAGAGGGAGAGAGAGGCCAGAGAGGAGGAAGAAAAGCAGGAGCAGGAAAAAAGAGAGAGAGAGGAGGAGGAUAGGGUGCGACAGGAGUUUGGGGAAGCCGCAGCACAAUAUUUAAGCCCUUAUAACACUAGAGCCAAAACCAAAAGGGAUGAGGCGAGUGCAGCUGGUAUGCCCGUCUACCCUGUCCUAGAUACCUUUCCUAUGGCGGAGGUUGCGAAUCCCCAUUUUGGUGUUGAAGGUGACCGAAGCCGUGUUAUUUGUGUUUACAGGCCAUGGACUGAAUCUGAAUGUGCAGAAGCAUGUAAAGGUUUAGGAGACCCGUUGACUAAUGUUGAUGAAUUUAUCGCCCGACAUAAGCAACUCUGCUCCUCGUACCGCUUAAACGGUCAGGAAACAGAAGCCACCUUUCGGAAGUGUCUCACAUAUAACUGGGCUCGGGUGCGAGGCACCUACACAGGGAGGGAUGGUAAUACCGUCCUACCCUAUGGCCAUGACAAUCUAAGAGGCCAAGUUGAUGGGGUUUAUGAGCGUCUUAGAACUACCUUUAAAGCUUCUGUAGAUUACAACAAAAUCGCCCAAUGUGUGCAGAAAGAAGGAGAGGAUGUUUAUGAGUUCAGGGCGAGAUUAGAGGAAGUUUUUAAAGAGCAUAGCGGCCUUGAAGAGAGUGCAGAGAAGGCCAGCCCAUAUCAGCAGCAGUUGAAGCAUGCUCUGAUGAAUGGCUUCCAUCCACGCAUUGCUGAUUUCGUCAGAAAACAAAAUGUUAAUCAGAACACUGACGGGUCCAUUGAAUGCAUGAAUUGGGCCCGCCAUGCGCAGGAAGUUAUUAAAAAUAAAAAAAAGAAGUCACAAAGCUCUGAGGCCGCUGCCUUUUUAGCAGAUGAAAUUUUGUUUCAGAGACAGGCUGGAAGAGGGCAAAACAGAGGCAGGAGUAGAAGAAAUAGAGGCUCAUGGCAAUUUAGGGGGAACCGUGGCAAAAGAGAUGAUAAGUGCUAUGCAUGUGGGGAAAUGGGCCACCACACGAGGGAGUGUCCUGAUCGCAUGCUUGAUGAGUAUAAACGCCCUGAUGCAAAAAACCCUUAUUAUAAUAAAUGACUAGCACCUGUUGACACUGCUAACACACAUACAUGUACAAAUGAUCCCCUAGUUUGCCAGAAUUUACAACAGCCUGUGUUUCAGACUCUAGAUUUAACUGAAGUAUUGUUAAAUCUGUCAGGGAAAGAAGUAAAACCAGUUCGCACGUUAACCGUGCAGGGUAAAAUCAUUCAAUUUCUAUGUGAUUCAGGUGCAGAUAAAACUGUUUUAAAAGAUCAUGUGUCAGGAGUUGACCCUUCAAGUGGCACAAUUUAUGUGAAGUCUGCAAAUGGUCAGUUAAAUCAGCAUAGAAUCUCUAAACCAGUGUGGAUUAGAGAUCCUACCACAGGAGAGGCAGCUCAGGGUUCAGUUGUAAUGUGCCCAACUUGUCCGGUGAACCUCUUGGGAAGAGAUAUGAUGAUGAAACUUGGAAUUUCAAUAAUUCCAACAUCCAUUGGGAUGAUAGCUGCAGGAAAAGGAGAAACUGCUGAGACAAUGGUUCACCAGGACAGUGGGGAUUUGCAUUAUUACUGGACACUUGACCUGUCGGCCUCCAGACCUGAUCAAAUAAACUGUAAACUGUUAGCUGCAGCUGAGGAAAUGUUGACAACCAGCCACAACACACAGGCGCCAGAAGACUUGCAUGUCACACUGAGAUUUAAGACCACGCCUGGGCCUGAUGAGGCCUACACAGAUAAAGUGCUGAAAUUAGGGCCACAGAGAAUCACCAUAAAAGCAAUAAAUACUGAUGGUGAAACCAUGGCUGGAUGUAGUGUGAUCCUUUCUGAAGCUGCACAACAACUUUUUACAGGGCAAACACCACACAUUUCACUGACAAAGAGUGGCAUGGCUGAGUGGACAGACUUAGCAUCUUUGGUGAGACAGGGGGAGAGUGUUGGAAUGUGGCAGCAAGCUGGAGGGGGUUGGGAGACAGACAUGCAGCACAGCAUCUUUCGUAAAAAGCUGGGAUGGGUUACACAUACUACACCACAAACACACUUAGAGGGGGGUGAGAAUGACACAGUAGAAUGAUAUGUUGUAGAUGUCAGAGAUCACCCGGAGCUUAAACAGGUCCCAGAGAAGCUCUGGUCUACUGGGAAGACUGAUGUGGGGUUAAUGUCCACAGCGAGUCCAGUAAUAAUAAAGCCCAAAACGUCUUUUAGGCCAAGAGUGAAACAAUAUCCCUUGAAGCCUGAUGCAGUGGAAGGCAUUAAACCAGUAAUAGAGGAUAUGAUUAAAGCAGGGAUACUAGUUGAAGCUCCACAGGCAGUAUGUAACACACCCAUCUUCCCAGUUAGAAAGGCUGAUUCACAGUCGUGGCGCAUGAUUCAAGACUUAAGAGCUGUAAAUCAGGCAGUGGAGAGUAUAGCUCCAUGUGUCCCCGACCCCCACACCUUGUUAAAUCAGCUUAAGCCAGAUAAGACACACUUCACUGUGGUAGAUUUAAGUAAUGCUUUCUUUUCCAUACCAGUGCAUGAGAAUUCACAGGGCUGGUUUGGUUUUACGUAUCAAGGCAAAAAAUACACAUACACCAGAUUGCCGCAAGGUUUUUGUGACAGUCCUACAAUUUUCACACAGAAUAUUACAAAUUGUCUGUCUGAUUUUGUAAUUCCAUCACAUUCGCAGAUGUUGGUAUAUGUCGAUGACAUUUUAAUUGCAUCCAAUUCAGAGAAGAACUGUAGAGACAUAUCAUUGGCAUUGCUAACUCACUUAGCUGAAACAGGUAACAAGGCCUCACUUUCAAAGCUACAGUGGGUAAAGACAGAAGUGAAAUUUUUAGGACAUCUGCUUAGUGCAGCAGGGAAGAGCAUACACCCAGAGAGGAAAACAGCUAUUUUGGCAGCACCUAGGCCAGUGACAAAGAAACACAUGAUGCAAUUUCUAGGUUUGCUAAAUUUCUGUCGAUCAUGGAUGCCCCAUUACGCUGAAGUUGCGCAGCCAUUACUAGAUACGAUGUACAGUAAACCUUUAGCUAUGUCAGAAAGUUUGAGUUGGACCCCUGAGGGGGAGCAAGCCCUGUGCAUGCUGAAACAGAUGCUGACAGGAGCAUCAGUUCUAGGGCUUCCAGAUUAUAACAAGCCUUUUGUUCAAACUGUUGACUGUAAAGGACAUUUUAUGACGUCCAUGUUAGCACAAAAGUGUGGAGGUAGGAUGAAGCCAGUAGCUUAUUAUUCUAAGAGGCUGGAUUUAGUGGCUUGUGCCUUACCUCACUGUGUGCGAUCUGUGUGUGCAGCUGCUGAAGCCGUAAAGUGUUCUGGUGAAAUUGUCUUGUUUCACCCUUUGACCCUGCUGGUUCCACAUGAGGUGGAUGUUUUAUUGCUGCAGACUAAAAUGACAUUUUUGUCACCUGCAAGACACUUAUCUUUAAUGUCACUGUUGCUCUCCCAGCCACACAUAACUAUUAAGCGGUGUACAACUUUGUAUCCCUCUACACUGUUACCCACAGAGGAAGAGGGUACACCACAUGUGUGUCGUGAGCAUGUGGAAACACAGUGUAAACCUAGAAGUGAUUUAACGGACAUACCACUCACUGAGGGCAAGGUUUGGUUUGUUGAUGGUUCGAGUUUUAAAACUGCAGCGGGAAAGACUAAAACAGGCUUUGCUGUUGUGGAUGAUGUGCGGGUCAUCCGUGCUGGGCAGUUAUCACAUUCCAUGUCUGCCCAAGCAGCUGAGAUAGUGGCUCUGACGGAAGCCUGCAAAGCAGCUGAGGGGCAGGCAAUGACUAUAUAUACAGACAGUCAAUAUGCCUAUGCUACACUUCAUUUCUUUGCCGCUCAGUGGUCAAGACGAGGCAUGACAACAUCAACAGGGAAACCUGUGGAGCAUGCGACACUUUUACAGGACCUGUUGAAAGCAGUCUUACUGCCCAGUAAAGUUGCGGUUUGUAAAUGUGCAGCACACACACGUGGCACUGACCCCAUUGUACUGGGCAAUGCCUUUGCAGAUAAAAUUGCAAAAGAAGCGGCCCUUGGAACACAUGGGGUUCAUAUUCUGGCAUCUCAGGAGCAAACUAUGCCCAUUACACAUGAUGUGUUAGCAGACAUGCAGUCACACUCACCUUCAGCUGAGAAGCAGCUAUGGCUCACUAAAGGAGCGAGCCUGAGAGGUGAUGUCUAUUAUCUUUGUGAUAAGCCUAUAUUGCCUAAGAACUUAUAUAGGACUGCUGCAAUUUUGAGCCAUGGGCUCUGCCAUGUCUCCACAGCCGGGAUGGUGGCAGCAGUCGAACGGCAGUUUUUCACACUGGGAUUCAAUGCUUAUUCAAAACAUUUUUGUAAAGCAUGUUUAAUAUGUUGUAAACAUAAUGCUCAGGGGAACCUCAGACCUAGAAGAGGAAGGUUUCCCAGACCCAGCUACCCAUUUGAAGUAAUCCAUAUGGAUUUCAUUGAGUUGUCUAACUGUAACACCUACAGGUACUGCCUGGUAAUUGUGUGCCCGUUCUCAAAGUGGGUUGAAAUUGUUCCCACUAAGAGAGCAGAUGCUAUUUCAGUGGCUAAGGCAAUAUGCAAAAAUGUGAUCCCAGAGCAUGGGAUCCCCCAGACUGUAUACAGUGACAAUGGUCCUCAUUUUGUGAAUGAAGUAAUUGAGAAAAUGUCACAACAUCUGGGGAUAACACUGAAAAACCACUGCUCAUACCACCCACAAAGUGCAGGGCUGGUUGAAAGGACUAAUGGCACAGUAAAGCUGAGGCUCAGGAAAACAAUGGAGGAAACAGGCAGAACAUGGGUAGACUGCAUUGAGCUGGUGAAAAUGUAUAUGAGAAUUACGCCGACUGAUAAUGGUCUAACGCCUUUUGAAAUAAUAUAUGGCAGGCCAUUUAGAGUUCCAGUGUUUUGUAAUGAUAUUGAUAAAGCAGAAGAAGAAAACACACUAGCAGACUGGAUGAUUAAAAUGCUGAAAAGCAAAGAAGUCAUGAGUGCAAAUAAUCUGCCAGAUGAUUCUGUUUCUGUACAGGAAGAACGUCUGAAGCCAGGAGACUGGGUGCUGAUAAAGGUCAUAAAGAGGAAGUGCUGGUCGAAGCCACGGUGGGACGGACCGUACCAGGCUCUGCUGACAACACCAACAGCUGUGAAAAUCGCAGAACGACCCACCUGGAUACACCAAAGCCACUGCAAAAAGGUGACACACAUCCAGGCCAGCUCGGAGUAAGUGGCAGGAAGACCGGGUACAAAGGGGAGGGAAAGCCUCCAGGGCCCCUCGUCUCAAUCCGGUGAAGAAACCAACUGAGCCACAGGUACUCAUCAGAAUGGCUGGAAAAGUGUUGUCUACCCUGCUGAGUGUAAUGGCUUUGAUGUCGUCAUGGUCAGCAGUGGAGACCCUGUAUGUCCGAGGAAACCACACCCAAUACCCUCAUGGCUAUUCUACAAACUUUUGGUGGCAGUUUAUGAAUACAACUGCUCACUUGAACAAUAGGACGGACUGCUAUGUGUGUGCUCAUAUGCCGUUGUCCGCAUAUACAUCUGGAUUGUGGCCGUCCAGCAUAACAGAGGACAGAAGUUGGUGUCUGUUAGGUUUAGCAACUCAUCCAGGCUACAGAGUCCUCUGGUCCAAAGCCAACUAUAGUACACCUCUGAACAUCACCUGGAGUAAGUCGCCACUUCUGAACGUGAAUUGUUCUGGACAAAUUGACUUAUUGGCCUGGCCUCAAGUGUCAGACCCGCUGCCAGACAUAAUAUUGCUGAAUAAGCUAGACGCAGCUCAACUACCAGUGUGUGUGAUGAACAAUGGAACACUGUCAGUGGGGGAGCUGCCGCUUCGCUUAUGUAAAUAUAUAUACACACCUACUGCCCUCCAGAGAAUGAGAGCAGGUGUAUGAAAUGCUUGACCAGUGCAAAGUGUGCUGAGAACUUGACAUUGAGGAGGACCGAAUGCGAGCUCAACCUGGCUUACAGAAUACCAGUAAAAGCAAAGAGCCAGAAGUGGACAGACUGUGCACAGACAGUGCCAAGCAGUAAAGGAACAAGAGUGUUGGCUGAUUGGUAUUCCCUGUGUGGACAUAAAGCCUAUCUAUCACUCCCUGAGGGAUGGGGAGGAUUGUGUGCCUUGGUGAAGUUAUCGGAUCAUGUGUUCUUCAUGGACAGAGUUGAACAUCACCCUAGCAACCGACGGAAGCGUGAGGUGGAUAUAGCCUCACCAAAUUCUUUUGGAGUAACAGUAGACACUGGAGUGCCACGGGAAUUCCGCAUUUGGAGUGGAGGAGCUAAGUUCUUCCAAAGUCUGAUCCCAAACAUCGGAGUUGCAGAGGUGCGGGAUCACGUGGAGAUCAACCGGUAUGCCCUACUGCGACACAUUAAUCUCACUAAGAAGCUGGGAACAGCCUUAGCAGAGGAGCAAAAGGCCAUCAGAACGAUGGUUCUAAAGAACAGGCUGACCCUGGACUUGAUAACAGCAUCACAAGGAGGAGUGUGUAAGCUCAUUGGAGAGACAUGUUGUACAUUUAUCCCAGAUGGAUACACGACUGGAGGAGACAUCUAUGAAGCACUGCAGAACUUAACUGCUCUGCAGAAAUAUGUGGCAGACCACACAUCAGGAGGAGAUGAGUCCCAAGGCUGGGUAGCCUGGUUGACAUCUGGACCAUGGUGGAAUAUGUUCUUAAAGUUUUUGACUCCCAUUCUUACAUUGGUGGCAUUGUUUUGCUUGUUUACAGGUUGCAUCCUGCCAUGUGUAAGAUCGAUGGUGAAUAAAAUGAUUGCUAACACUUUUACCAACUACAUACUGUUGCAGCAGAGUGACAUGGAUGCUAAGGCUAAUGUGUGUGUAUGAAUGAAGCCUGCACUGAAAAUGGUGACAAGUGGUGUAGAGCUGAAGAGAUAUAUAUACGCCAUAUAGCCUUAUAAAAUGACAAUACAGGGUGGAGAUGUUGGGUUUAUAUUUUAUUAUUGUCAUUUGUAUUAAGAAACAUGUAAUCAUUUGUGUUUAGAAGUAUAUAGCUGAUGGCAUGUUGAAAGAAUGUCUCAUCCCAGGAGGUCUGUAACAACUCUGU